UACGGGGGGGGGCAAGCGUUGUUCGGAAUUACUGGGCGUAAAGGGCUCGUAGGCGGCCAACUAAGUCAGACGUGAAAUCCCCAGGCUCAACCUGGGAACUGCGUCUGAUACUGGAUGGCUUGAAUCCGGGAGAGGGAUGCAGAAUUCCAGGUGUAGCGGUGAAAUGCGUAGAUAUCUGGAGGAACACCGGUGGCGAAGGCGGCAUCCUGGACCGGCAUUGACGCUGAGGCGCGAAAGCUAGGGGAGCAAACAGG
rnacentral:rRNA from 1 species